UAGCAUGGAUUCGAGAUUCUUCAUCAAGCAGCUCCUCUGCUCCCUGCUGGCGUUUGUAUUUCCGACGGGGCUUGUAAACAUCCUAAGAAUUGCUAGAGUUCACCCCC